AUGCAAGUCGAACGAUUAAAGCUCUCUUCGGAGAGUGCAUAAAGUGGCGCACGGGUGAGUAACACGUAAGUAAUCUACCCUCGGGUGGGGAACAACGUCCGGAAACGGACGCUAAUACCGCAUAAUGCAGCGGCACCAUAUGGUGACAGUUGUUAAAGGAGAAGUUCGCCUGGGGAGGAGCUUGCGGCAGAUUAGCUUGUUGGUAGGGUAACGGCCUACCAAGGCGACGAUCUGUAGCCGGUCUAAGAGGACGGUCGGUCACACUGACACUGAAUAACGGGUCAGACUCCUACGGGAGGCAGCAGUCGGGAAUUUUGGGCAAUGGGCGAAAGCCUGACCCAGCAACGCCGCGUGAAGGAUGAAGUAUUUCGGUAUGUAAACUUCGUAAGAAUGGGAAGAAACAAAUGACGGUACCAUUUGUAAGCCCCGGCUAACUACGUGCCAGCAGCCGCGGUAAUACGUAGGGGGCAAGCGUUGUUCGGAUUUACUGGGCGUAAAGGGCGCGUAGGCGGCGGGACAAGUCACUUGUGAAAUCUCUGAGCUUAACUCAGAACGGCCAAGUGAUACUGUCUUGCUAGAGCGCAGAAGGGGCAAUCGGAAUUCUUGGUGUAGCGGUGAAAUGCGUAGAUAUCAAGAGGAACACCUGAGGCGAAGGCGGGUUGCUAGGCUGACACUGACGCUGAGGCGCGAAAGCUAGGGGAGCAAACGGGAUUAGAUACCCCGGUAGUCCUAG
rnacentral:rRNA from 1 species